AAGCCGAGGCCAGGGCUCUCGGAACACGCUGGCUCUGAGGCCCAUCCUAUUCGGGGUUGUUCUCUGCUCAGUUAAACUCUGUUCAAUACAGCGUGUCUAAGGUUUUUCCCUUUUGACAGGCUCCAGGACUGAAGCCGCAGAGGCCACUCCCACAGGUCACCAGAAACUAAGACGUGAGUGACGCCCGGCAGUGGCCGACUCUUCCGCCGUGGCUGUGCCCAUGGGAGACGUGAGUGACGCCCGGCAGUGGCCGACUCUUCUGCGGUGGCUGCGCCCACGGGAGACGUGAGUGACCCCGGCAGUGGCCGACUUCCACGGUGGCUGCGCCCACGGGAGACGUGAGUGAUGCCCGGCAGUGGCCAACUCUUCUGCGGUGGCUGUGCCCACGGGAGACGUGAGUGACGCCCGGCAGUGGCUUACUCUUUCGUGGUAGCUGCGCCCACGACUUCUGGAGACAUCAGAGGCUUCCAGGCCCCACUGUUUUCUGCAUUUGGCCACUGCCCACGCUUCUGGGGCUGAGGUCUCCCUCUUGGGGCCCUUUUCAGCCCCUAAAGAUCUCCUAGCCUCCGAACCUGAAAUGGCUCCCCCAAAUUGCAGAGGAGGUGGGGAAGUGGCAGCCACAGCUCAGUCACCAGCCUGCUCUGCCGCCUGUGAAGCUGCAGCUGGCAGCAACACCCCAACCAAAAUAGUGGCUGAGACGUGCCCGACAGCUGGCGUUUAUUUCUGUAUUAGCAGAAUCGGGUGGGAGUCAGCACCUGCCUGACCCGGCUGCAGCAUGCCAGACGCCGUCACCUGCUGCCUGGGCCCUGGAACCCUCCGCAAGAUACCAGCCAGGCCUCACGGCAGCCCUUGCUGGGCCCUGCAUUAACUCCCCCAGGCCUUGGACUCUGAGAGUUGGGACUCUCGUCUGGCCCAGGUGACAGAGGAGGAAACUGAGAAGCAGAGAGCCACGUGACUCACCUGUGGGUGGACUGUGGGAAUCGCCAAGCUCGGAUGAGAACCACGUGGGCAGUUCCAGGCCCGAGGCCGCCCACCCCGGGGGGAGAGGCUCCCCGGAGCAUCUGAGUCUGCAGCCCACUGGGGUGUCCGCCCGUGCAGCCACCAAGCCUGCUGGCCCUAGUACACCUCGCCACGCUCCCUCAGCCCGAGAGAGCCGGCCGGGCUGGCUGCAGCCCCAGAGGAGGUUCCCUCUCUUACCCAGAGGGGAGCAGGGUGAGCCGCGUGUCCACGGCACCCCCAGCCCAGAUCCCCGGAGCCCACAGGUACCUGUCGGGCGUCCUCCUCUUGCCGUUCUCGUUGACUUCCAGUAGCAGCUCUGAGGAGUCGAUGGGGGAGGAGGCGCUGGCGUCCAGCAGGAGCUGCUCAUGCUGGGCCAAGUACUGGGCGGGCGUCUGCUUGGCCAGGCGUGCACAGUGCAGGAGCUCCCGCUGCAGCAAGGGCAGGUUUGC
rnacentral:lncRNA from 1 species